rnacentral:rRNA from 1 species
AACGAACGCUGGCGGCAUGCCUAACACAUGCAAGUCGAACGAUGUCUUUCGGGGCAUAGUGGCGCACGGGUGCGUAACGCAUGGGAAUCUGCCCUUGGGUUCGGAAUAACCGUUGGAAACGACGGCUAAUACCGGAUGAAGUCGAUAAGACCAAAGAUUUAUCGCCUGAGGAUGAGCCCGCGUAGGAUUAGCUAGUUGGUGUGGUAAGAGCGCACCAAGGCGACGAUCCUUAGCUGGUCUGAGAGGAUGAUCAGCCACACUGGGACUGAGACACGGCCCAGACUCCUACGGGAGGCAGCAGUGGGGAAUAUUGGACAAUGGGCGCAAGCCUGAUCCAGCAAUGCCGCGUGAGUGAUGAAGGCCUUAGGGUUGUAAAGCUCUUUUACCCGGGAUGAUAGUGACAGUACCGGGAGAAUAAGCUCCGGCUAACUCCGUGCCAGCCGCCGCGGUAA